rnacentral:rRNA from 1 species
UACGUAGGUGGCAAGCGUUGUCCGGAAUUAUUGGGCGUAAAGCGCGCGCAGGCGGUCCUUUAAGUCUGAUGUGAAAGCCCACGGCUCAACCGUGGAGGGUCAUUGGAAACUGGGGGACUUGAGUGCAGGAGAGAAGAGUGGAAUUCCACGUGUAGCGGUGAAAUGCGUAGAGAUCGUAAGGAAGACCAGUGGCGAAGGCGAGUUUCUGGACGGUAACUGACGCUGAGGCACGAAGGCCAGGGGAGCAAACGGG